rnacentral:misc_RNA from 1 species
GCAUCCAGUACACUCAAAACAUACUACAACCCAGUUCUUAGAACCCUAGAAAAGAUAAUAACAAAACAGUGAGACGACAAAGAUUUGCAUCGCAUAAAGGCUCAUCCCAGCAUCCCUGUCUGAUGAGUGGCUUCGGAUGGUUUUACUUGCAAGACAGUCAGAAACAUGCCCACUACCACCUUAAGAAAAUGGAGAUAAGAAAAAGAAGCAUCAUCAGCUAUUUAUAGUUGAGUCAUAUCUCUGAUAGUCUGAUUCCUUCCAUCCAUUUGAGACACAAUCAUGAACAGGAUCUAAUGCUCCAUAGAUGCCGGGGCAUAUGACAGCACCAUAUAUACUGUGCUAAACACACGCAGACAACUGGGAGUGCUUUCUUCUUGCCUUCCAUGCGCAUUCAAGAUUGAAAUGCCACGGGCUAUUUCCCCGCCACAAAAUAUUCCUGCCAAUGGGACCCC